AUUCCCUGCCUUCAAGAAGCUUCCAGUCUAGAGGACUGUCUUCUAUCUCUCUAGACUGUAAGUUCAUUGUGGGCAGGGAAC
rnacentral:pre_miRNA from 1 species